CCCUUAGAUGUUCUGGGCUGCACGCGUGCUACAAUGGCGCUUGCAACAAGUCUUACCAACCCGAUAGGGUGAGCGGAUCUUUGAAGAGGCGUCGUGAUCGGGACAGUUGAUUGCAAUUAUUCGACUCGAACGAGGAAUUCCUUGUAAUCGCGAUUCAUCAUAUCGCGCUGAAUACGUCCCUGCCCUUUGUACACACCGCCCGUCGCUCCUACCGAUUGAGCGAUCCGGUGAAUGUUUUGGACUGGCGUCAGAAGCGGUUCGCUCCUGACACUACGAAAUUUUGUAAACCUUAUCGCUUAGGGGAAGGAAAAGUCGUAACA
rnacentral:rRNA from 1 species